rnacentral:rRNA from 1 species
AUGGAGACUUGCAACUGCGGCUUCUUGCAAGGAGACCGGCGCCAAGGAAGAGGUCCGAAGCUCGAGGACGAGUCAGUGUCCGACGCGGAGAUGUCGUGUGGUAGUAGCAGGACGAAGGCGCGGAGUUGUCCAGUUGGACGCGGUCAGGUGCAGGAGGGAGCUCGGGGAAGCAACGGCGGCGCUGCUCGGCUGAAGCAAAGGGUGGCGUCGGAUCAUGGCCGCAGUUUGGCCAGGGAGACGGGGGAGACUAGGGCCAGUCGAGGCUGA